rnacentral:lncRNA from 1 species
AGUCACCUGGGACUGGGAGAGGUGGUGAUGGUGAACAAACAACAAAUGAGAAAUGACGAAAGUUAUUUGCUGUUGCUGUUCACUUUUUUAUGGACCAAAUUAAUAUCCACAAAAUAUAUUAUUCUACAUAAUGUGUUCAAGCUUGUCUAUGGUCAUCUCAAGAUCUCAUUUAGGCAACAACGACUGCUAUGUAGAACUCGACGAAUAAGUUGCUCUAAGGAAUUUCAAAAGAUCGUUAAAGUUGAGAAAGAAGAAAAUAACGGCUCAAUACAAUCAAAUCAAAGAAGUACAAAACCAUAGGAGAGACGCCGGAAAUGUUACUUGUCGCACAAGUCCUGGAGUUGGUGUCGCGUUUUGAUGUCAGGUGUCGUUAUUACAUUCCGACUUGCGACUACACCGACUUCGCAACCAGAUUCUUUGCCAUUUGCAAUCAGAAUGAUCAGUUUAGGUGGCGGAGUGUCAGUGAGUGACGGCGGCGAUUGGUUUCGUCAGUCUUAAGUCAUUUGCCUUUGAGACAAUGGAUGGAAACGUGCUGCAGCUUCUGCGUCAUGACGGUUUUCGCUUUUACAUUUUAAAGAGAUGAGAUAUUUCCACGCCAUUCGACCAAGCUUAAUCAAAAGUGAACAAUUCUAAGGCAUCAUGCCGAAGAUCUUUCUCCCUUCUCCACGUGAUCGCUGCCGUGUCACGAAGAUGCUUCUUUGAGAGGGUCUCUACUAUAUUGCAAGACAAAAUGUGAUGAGAUUUGGAAAUCUGAGAUGGUAGUAAUGUACUUGUAAGAUAAAUCAAGUAGGUUCAGUAGUUCAACCUGCAGACAUGCAAACUCAAGGUCGCUGGGAACAUUUCGUGUAAAACUGUCAAUUCGGUGAUGUAGAGGUUGGGUGAGAACAGAACGUCAUUAUCAAGCAGACCCAUCCCCGGCAACCUCAACCUAAAGAAGGAAAGGGCAGUUUUCAUGUAAAAUCUUUUAAUCGAAGGUCACGGAGAUCAUAACGUAAAACGUUUCAUGCGACGA